GGGUGCUGUAUGUGAGGUGCAAACCCUCUUCUCCACAGGGAAAAGCUGGGUAUUCCCUUCCCAAUUUGAUGGCACAGUGCCUGUGGUGGGGCCCAUCCACAAGUGUGCCUCAGCUCUUCCUACCUGUACGAUGCAGAUACUUUCUCAGUUGCCCGGUGGGUAGGAGUCUCUCAACUGGUCUCCGACUUUCUCCCAGAAGGAGUUAACCCAUGAAUACAUGUUUAUUUGGUGUGUCUGUGGAUGGAAUCAGGAGCUUCCUAUUCUGCCAUGUUGCUGAUGUCACCCAGAAUGUUUUUUUUAACAUCAUGUAUUAUCUUUCCAACUGCAGGGAAGCAAAACUUUACUUCUGCCCUCUUGGAGUCUCAGGUUAGGCCUGAAAAUUCAGUUGUCAUAAGACACAUUAACAAAAGAAAAGCAUACAGAUUUUAUUUUACAUGUACAUGGAAGUUCCCAUAAGAAAAUGAGGACCCAAAGAAGAGGCACAUCCCAAAUGCUUAUAUCGUAGGUUGGACAAAGAGUGGCAAUUGUGACACAGAAGACAACUUUCAAGAAAAGAAGUGAAGCUAGUGCAUAACGUUGACAAAAGCAGAAACAGUGCCUGCUAUGGACUGAAUCGCCCCCGCUAAUUCAUACGUUGAAACUCUAACCCCAAAUGCCACUGUAUUUGGAGAUAAGGCCUUCAAGGAGACAAAGAAGGUUAAAUAAGAUCAUAAGAGUGGGACCCUAAUCUGAUAGGACUGGUGUCCUUAUAAGAAGGGGAAAAUACCAGGCACAGUGGCUCACACCUGUAAUCCCAGCACUUUGGGAGGCUGAGGCUGGAGGAUUGCUUGAGUCCAGGAGUUCAAGACCAGCAUAAGUAACACAGUGAUAUCUUAUCUCUACAAAAAACAAAACAAUUAGCUGGGUGUGGUGGCAUGCUCCUGUAGUCCCCACCACUCAGGAGGCUGAGGCAGCAGGAUCGCUUGAGCCCAGGAAUUUGAGGCUGCAGUGAGCCACGAUCAUGCCACUGCACCCUACACACCAGAGCUCUCUCCUCGCAAACACAGAGAAAAGGGCACGUGAGGACACAGGAAGAAGGUGGUCAUCUGGGAGCCAGAAAGAGGCCUCAGUGGAAACCAACCCUGCAGGCACCUUGAUCCUGGGCUUCCAGACUCCAGAAUUGUGAGAAAUUAAAUUUCUG
rnacentral:lncRNA from 1 species